UACGGAGGGGGCUAGCGUUGUUCGGAAUUACUGGGCGUAAAGCGCACGUAGGCGGCUUUGCAAGUUAGAGGUGAAAGCCCGGGGCUCAACCCCGGAAUUGCCUUUAAAACUGCAUCGCUAGAAUUGUGGAGAGGUAAGUGGAAUUCCGAGUGUAGAGGUGAAAUUCGUAGAUAUUCGGAAGAACACCAGUGGCGAAGGCGACUUGCCAGAACGCACUCGACGGUGAGGGAUGAAAGCUGGGGGAGCAAACCGG
rnacentral:rRNA from 1 species